rnacentral:rRNA from 1 species
CCCUUAGAUGUCCUGGGCCGCACGCGUGUUACACUGAUGCAUUCAACGAGCUUAUAACCUUGGCCGAGAGGCCUGGGCAAUCUUGUUAACGUGCAUCGUGAUAGGGAUAGAUUAUUGAAAUUAUUAAUCUUGAACGAGGAAUUCCUAGUAAACGCAGAUCAUCAAUCUGCAUUGAUUACGUCCCUGCCCUUUGUACACACCGCCCGUCGCACCUACCGAUUGGAUGGUCCGGUGAAGCCUCGGGAUUGUGGUUCUUGCCGCUUUAUUGUGGCGUGACCGCGAGAACUUGUCUAAACCUUAUCAUCUAGAGGAAGGUGAAGUCGUAACA